rnacentral:rRNA from 1 species
GACGAACGCUGGCGGCGUGCCUAAUACAUGCAAGUAGAACGCUGAAGAGAGGAGCUUACUCUUCUUGGAUGAGUUGCGAACGGGUGAGUAACGCGUAGGUAACCUGCCUUGUAGCGGGGGAUAACUAUUGGAAACGAUAGCUAAUACCGCAUAACAAUGGAUGACACAUGUCAUUUAUUUGAAAGGGGCAAUUGCUCCACUACAAGAUGGACCUGCGUUGUAUUAGCUAGUAGGUGAGGUAAUGGCUCACCUAGGCGACGAUACAUAGCCGACCUGAGAGGGUGAUCGGCCACACUGGGACUGGGACACGGCCCAGACUCCUACGGGAGGCAGCAGUAGGGGAUCUUCGGCAAUGGGGGCAACCCUGACCGAGCAACGCCGCGUGAGUGAAGAAGGUUUUCGGAUCGUAAAGCUCUGUUGUAAGUCAAGAACGGGUGUGAGAGUGGAAAGUUCACACUGUGACGGUAGCUUACCAGAAAGGGACGGCUAACUACGUG